rnacentral:rRNA from 1 species
UACAGAGGUCCCAAGCGUUGUUCGGAUUCACUGGGCGUAAAGGGUGCGUAGGUGGUGAGGUAAGUCGGAUGUGAAAUCUCCGAGCUCAACUCGGAAAUGGCAUUGGAAACUACCUUGCUCGAGGGUUGGAGGGGGGACUGGAAUGCUUGGUGUAGCAGUGAAAUGCGUAGAUAUCAAGCGGAACACCAGUGGCGAAGGCGAGUCCCUGGACAACUCCUGACACUGAGGCACGAAGGCCAGGGGAGCAAAACGGG